rnacentral:pre_miRNA from 1 species
UCUUAUGGAUGAGCAAAGGAAGUGAUUUCUUGAGGUGGGAUCUACUCCUGGUGAGUAUUCUUAAGAU